AUGAACGCUGGCGGCGUGCCUAAUACAUGCAAGUCGAACGCGAGCACUUGUGCUCGAGUGGCGAACGGGUGAGUAAUACAUAAGUAACCUGCCCUAGACAGGGGGAUAACUAUUGGAAACGAUAGCUAAGACCGCAUAGGUACGGACACUGCAUGGUGACCGUAUUAAAAGUGCCUCAAAGCACUGGUAGAGGAUGGACUUAUGGCGCAUUAGCUGGUUGGCGGGGUAACGGCCCACCAAGGCGACGAUGCGUAGCCGACCUGAGAGGGUGACCGGCCACACUGGGACUGAGACACGGCCCAGACUCCUACGGGAGGCAGCAGUAGGGAAUUUUCGGCAAUGGGGGAAACCCUGACCGAGCAACGCCGCGUGAAGGAAGAAGGUUUUCGGAUUGUAAACUUCUGUUAUAAAGGAAGAACGGCGGUUACAGGAAAUGGUAGCCGAGUGACGGUACUUUAUUAGAAAGCCACGGCUAACUACGUGCCAGCAGCCGCGGUAAUACGUAGGUGGCAAGCGUUAUCCGGAAUUAUUGGGCGUAAAGAGGGAGCAGGCGGCAGCAAGGGUCUGUGGUGAAAGCCUGAAGCUUAACUUCAGUAAGCCAUAGAAACCAGGCAGCUAGAGUGCAGGAGAGGAUCGUGGAAUUCCAUGUGUAGCGGUGAAAUGCGUAGAUAUAUGGAGGAACACCAGUGGCGAAGGCGACGAUCUGGCCUGCAACUGACGCUCAGUCCCGAAAGCGUGGGGAGCAAAUAGGAUUAGAUACCCUAGUAGUCCACGCCGUAAACGAUGAGUACUAAGUGUUGGAUGUCAAAGUUCAGUGCUGCAGUUAACGCAAUAAGUACUCCGCCUGAGUAGUACGUUCGCAAGAAUG
rnacentral:rRNA from 1 species